CUGAUUAUUAGCCAAUCAGAGCGCGCAACGUCACAACCUGGUGAGGGUGGACGUACGCGCGCGAAGGGAACCUCACUCCCGAGCUGAAGAAAAUGGCGUGUGGGUGCGCGCUGCUCUGGAAGAUGACGUGAACUUCGUCAACAUUGACAGAUUUGGACAGGAAAGCUGAUCUUGAAGAGCACGACCCAAGGAAGAUGUCACUAACUUCACAUCAUUGACAGAUUUGGACAGGAAAGCUUAUUCUGAAGACCUCGACCCAAGGAAGAUGUCACCAACUUCACAUCAUUGACAGAUUUAGACAGGAAAGCUGAUCUUGAAGAGCACGACCCAAGGAAGAUGUCACUAACUUCACAUCAUUGUCAGAUUUGGACAGGAAAGCUGAAGACCUCGACCCAAGGAAGAUGUCUCCAACUUCACAUCAUCAUUGGUAUCACAUCUGGCGAGUUAACAUUUGAAAACAAGUUUAACAUUUCUUAAUUACUACUAUGUAGUGAACCUUCAACCAGGUUUUAUGCGGUGUAUAUUAUACUAGUGUUUGUACCCUUA